rnacentral:sRNA from 1 species
CGUCAUCCUUCAUUGGCAUCAAGUAGCUGACGGCUAAGGUAUUAUGAUAUCAGUCCCCGCUUCCGUAGUUCAGUCCUUCGGUUACCCUAACUUGGAAGGUCCCCCAAACGCCAUCCUUUUAUUGGAGUUGACGAGGACGUGUGAGCAGGUGGAGGUGUGGUGGCUGUAGGAAGAACGAUGUCAGGGACGCGUAGGGACGUUUAUAAUUCUGUACAUCUGUUUCUUGGUUCUUUCCCUCUUCUUCCUAUUAUGCAACAAACCAGUAUUACAACACCUUUAUACCCCAGAGGCCGCAUUUCAAUGAUGACUGAUCAGUCAUUGCAUUGUUCGUGCCUGGGAAAAACCUAUCAACAAGUGGUCCCUCGAACUCUACACGCCUGGCUGGAUGACGCCUAUUGCGGUCGAUAGACACACCAUAUACUACAGCCAACAUUUCAUCAUCAAUUUCAAAAGCUCUCUUCAGACUAAAUAAAGUCCAACUCACCCGCGACAAAGGAGGCACACCUCCUGUUCUCCUCAGCAAUAUUCACCCUCGACAUACGAAUAGCAUUGCCAUCAUUCAACACUCGAACACGGUUCCACACCCUCAGCUUUUCCUUUGACAUCAAAGUUCUAAGCUCAUUAGCUGGGUCGGAUGAUACCUUGGGCACCAUUGGUCGGGGAGGUCAAAGCUUAAUGCGCAUAUGAACAGGCAUCAAUUAUGCAUCAAGCGUUAUAUGAUAUGACUUGGACUUACACGACAGCAAGACCCUCUCAUACCGCUCAGGUGCUUCAUCAUCGCUCAUCCUUCCUCUACCUUCCCAGUGGAGAUCGUACUUGUUCGCAAUGUGUUGAAGAUGACUCUUGGCCAAAAUCCGCUAGGACAUGCUGGCAUCAUAGGGGUGUCGCAUGUUCCUUAGAUUUCGGCCAAGAUCGCCACAAUAACGCUCCAUUGCGAACUGCCACGACACCCAAAUGGGCCCCAUCAUCGUGACGAUUAAACCGAAGUGGAAGACUGAAUGCACCUGAGCCGAACAAACAUGGAGAUGGCUAGGCUAAUUCCCAGAUUAAACGGAAUGUAAUGUCUAAGAAAAGUUCAUAAUGUAAUCUGAAUAUGCAACUCACCGUUAAAAGUCC